CUCUCUCUGUCCCCCCUCAUUUCCCCCUUUUUCCUCUCUCUCCUCUCUCUCCUCUCUUUGCCACUCUACUCGGUCGUUCUUGAACAUUCGCACAUACUACGCACCAGAAUUGACAACGAACGACGACACAGCAGGCAGACUUGUACAGUCUUCGCCAACAGAGUAGUAGUCGACUUCUUUCUUCUUCCCAUCUCUUCUUUCUUGGCAUUGGUUAAAGAGAGAUAAAGAGAGAAACUAUAUGUAGAAUUGAAUGUUAGGAAUGACGAUUCGUAAUUGCGGCCACGUGUUACAAGUGGUUGGUAAUAGCAAAGAUGUUAUCGUUCGCAUUUAAAUCUUUCUAUUUCGGUGCACCGCGUGUCGUAACCAAAAUGAAACAUUAGAUGACAUUAGAAGAAAAAGAUAAUCUUCUUGUCGGUGGCGUCCACCUUGCGUCAUUCUCAGGUUUUUUUUUCUUUUUAUUACCUUUAAGAAGGCCGUACGAGAAAAAAGAAGACGAAUUAGAAACGUUCAACAUUUUACGCGCAAUAUACACGACCAAUACAUACCAUAUAUAUGUAUUCGAGUUAUCGUUACUACUUUUAUGCAACCAAAACGUGAUCUGUUCUAACGUUAAUACCAAUUUCAUUCUCGGUAUUCUUUUAUUGAUUAUUUUUCUUCGUCAAUUUUAACUCUACUUUUUCGAAAAAGUUCAAAUAACACGUCUAAAAGAAAAUGUACGAAACUUUGAUAAAUUUUAAUCGAAAAGAAAUAAGAUUUCAAUAUAAUAAACGCGAAAUACAAAAGUAGACGUCGCAAAUGAUAUAUACACUCGAUAAUUCAAGGUAAUUUUGAUCACCAUUACGAGAAUAAAUUACUGUAGUACUAUCCACGACUUACGUCGGACUAUAAUUAUCUAACAAAAUUUAAUCGUGAGAAAUAACACAUAUAUAACGUAGAGAUAUAAUAUAUUAUAUUAUUUCUUUACAUAUAUUCUUUGUGACAGUAAUUUUUGGACGAUAGAAUCAAUCCACACUAUCGUAAUAAUCGAUACGUAUGUAUAUCAAAUGUUUCUAAGAGAUAAAUGUAAAAAAAUAAAAACAAAAGUAAUUGUAAGAAAGAAAAAAGAAAAAAAAAUGAAACUGUCGCGACGUUACAGUCUCUAUCAUCGAUUCGAUUUCGAUCUCUUUAAAAAUCCAAGGUCUCUGUCGGGUCUGAUUAUUUAUCGAUGACAAAAAAAAAAAA